rnacentral:rRNA from 1 species
AUGGACAAUAGAGGUAACAAGAGGAACAUAAGAGGAGGAGGAGGAGGAAGAGGAGGAAGAGGAGGAGGAGGCGUCAUGGACAAGACAGGUACAACGGUUCCCCCUAACAGGCCAACGCCAACAUCAACCAAUAAGCCGGCAGCACAUCCAAGGAACCCUAAGAAGGGGCGUAACCGUAGGAUAAACGUGAGGCUGGCUCAGAAAAGGGUAUAA